AAUAGAUACCCCGGUAGUCCACCCCGUAAACGUUGGGAACUAGUUGUGGGGUCCUUUCCACGGAUUCCGUGACGCAGCUAACGCAUUAAGUUCCCCGCCUGGGGAGUACGGCCGCAAGGCUAAAACUCAAAGGAAUUGACGGGGACCCGCACAAAGCGGCGGAGCAUGCGGAUUAAUUCGAUGCAACGCGAAGAACCUUACCAAGGCUUGACAUACACCAGAACACCCUAGAAAUAGGGGACUCUUUGGACACUGGUGAACAGGUGGUGCAUGGUUGUCGUCAGCUCGUGUCGUGAGAUGUUGGGUUAAGUCCCGCAACGAGCGCAACCCUCGUUCUAUGUUGCCAGCACGUAAUGGUGGGAACUCAUGGGAUACUGCCGGGGUCAACUCGGAGGAAGGUGGGGAUGACGUCAAAUCAUCGAUGCCCCUUAUGUCUUGGGCUUCACGCAUGCUACAAUGGCCGGUACAAAGGGCUGCAAUACCGUGAGGUGGAGCGAAUCCCAAAAGCCGGUCCCAGUUCGGAUUGAGGUCUGCAACUCGACCUCA
rnacentral:rRNA from 1 species